rnacentral:rRNA from 1 species
CGGUUAAGUUAGAAAGGGCGCACGGUGGAUGCCUUGGCACUAGGAGCCGAUGAAGGACGGGACGAACACCGAUAUGCUUCGGGGAGCUGUAAGCAAGCUUUGAUCCGGAGAUUUCCGAAUGGGGAAACCCACCACUCGUAAUGGAGUGGUAUCCAUAUCUGAAUACAUAGGAUAUGAGAAGGCAGACCCGGGGAACUGAAACAUCUAAGUACCCGGAG